CGAAUAGUUUUCAAUUUAAAAACUGUUCGAAUACACCGAAUUAUUUCAGAACUAUCGAAUAUUCGAAUAAUUCAGAACUAUUGAAUAAUUCGAUUAUUCGAAUACUUCAGAACUAUCCAAUAUUUGAAAUACUAUCGAAUUAUUCGAUAGUCAUUAUUCGAUAGAGCCCAUCACUUCUAAUAACCAACACAUUUAGAUAAUAAACAAAUAAUAAUAUUGGCAUUGUCUUAUUCUGUGUAAUUGGUUACAUCUUUUUACAUGAAGGAAUAACUAGGAUUUGUAUAUCUGCACGUCGCUUCUUCCGCUAUAUACUGACUACCUACUGACUUGUGACUACUCAACUAGUGGCUGCUGCAGAAUUCCGAGCAGAGUACAACUCGCUGUUUGCUUUUCCACUGUGAGCGUCUGAUGUUGUGAUGUUCAUGAUUUCGAUGCAGGGAUAACUACGAUUUGCAUAUCUCGUCUAUACUAUACUAUCUACUAACUUGUGAUAACAAGUGGCUGUUGCAGAAUUCUGAGCAGAGUGCAGCUUGCUGUUUGCCUUAGCACUGCGUGCGUUUGAUGUUCAUGGUUAGGUCUCAUUACGUUAAAUAUUCAGAAUUUCAUUUUGGGAAUAACCUACCUACAUUACCAUUUAGUGGUGUAAAAGUAUUUACCAUUCGAGGCUGCUGAUUAUAUGAUUAAUUUGCACUUGUAACCACUGAACGGACAUAUAAUGGAUUUUGAUCCUCAUUGUGCUGUACCAGGAUGUAUGACUAAUACUGAUGUAGAGGAGAAUGAAGAUAUCAACUUUUUCCAACCUUCAACAGAAAAUGUAUAUGGUUGGAGUUUAUCAUUAGGUUGCCAGUUGACCGUAAACAGUUAUGUGUGUCAACGACACUUCAGAAUUGAAGAUAUUUUACAUCCAAAAUUAUUAGUAAAUGGGUAAAUUCGAACAGUAAAAGUAUUAGUACGUUCUGCUUUGCCAAUACCAAUGGAUGCUGCUGAGGAGUAGUAUUGUGCAAACAAACCCUCCUCCGCUGUCGCUUCAAACUGGAAAAAUAUAAAAAUAAAAAUAAAUACCAAUUAAUGAUACCCAAUCAGCUUUUUUUUUUAGAUUAAAUAUUUUUACUUAAAUUUAAGUUUUUCACAUGCUUAUUUGAGUUCUUAUAAUGAUGUUUUUAAGCGCUUAUUUUAAUGAUGUUUAGGACUACAAUUCCCAAGCCCUGGUUAUAACUAUAAUACUAUUAACACUACUUUAUUACUUAUAUAAAUUAGUUAAGAUUGGCAUAUCAAAUGAGAAGAUACGAUUUAACUUGCCGCUAUCAUAAUUUAAACACAUAUAUUUAUAUUUUAUUUUUUUUUUUUACUUUAAAUAUUACAUUUUUAUUUAUGUGAUCAACUUUAUUUUGAUAAUACAAAUAAAAUAAAUAUGUAGCAAAAAUACAACUAUUUAACUAUUUUCCAUGAGGGGGGGGGGGGCAAAACAUAAAAUACGUAACAAUAACUAUUAUAAUAUAUUUAUUUGUGAUUUAUAACAGAAAACCGUUCUUAAUAUUUUAUUAUUUUAAUGCAGAUAGUAUAUUUUAGUAUAAGAAUUAUAUAAAUGUAUUGAUAUGAUAUAAUUAUGUAGGGCGUAGGCAGUAUAAUAUAUAUAAAUAUAAAUAUGUUAUAGGUAUCUGGUAUUUAUACAUUUAUAUAUUGAUACAAAACAUAAAACAUACCUAUUUACUUUAUACCUGUAAAAGUAAAAAGUAAAAAUAUAUAAAUAAAAAUUACUCAAUAUGUUAACUAUGUAUUGUAGUGUCAUAAUAAUAAAUAAUAAAUUGAUAGUAAUAAUAAUAACAAUAUUACGCACAUUCAUACAUUCAUGAAAAUUAGACCAAUUUUGAAUGCGUAAACUACAAUAAAUUAAACGUAAUCUACGAUUGUAUACCCAUUAGUUUUAAUGUAGUUGGGGGGACUUUUGCAGAUUAUAUCUGAGUGGUCAAUUGCCCCCUCGGCCCCCCCUUCUCCGACGCCACAAAGAAUAGGUAUGUUACAAUGGAAGAACCAAUAAAAAUAAUAUAUCAAUUUAUUAAUUGUUCGAAUAUCUCCAUGACCAUCGGCCACUAUCAGGACGGAUCCAUGGGGGGGGGGGGGGGGCUAGGACCCAGCCCCCCCUAGACAUAUUUUUUACAAAUAUAAAUAUUAUAAAUUAUAUUAAAUAACAAAUAAACAAAUUCUAAACAUCUUUUCACAUUGUCGCUUUAUAUAUUAAUAAUAAUCAAUAAUUUAUUUAUCACAUUGAUUACCUAUA